rnacentral:rRNA from 1 species
CCACCGCGGUUAUACGUAUGACUCAAAUUGAUACCUCCCGGCGUAAAGCGUGAUUAGAGAAAAAAACAACUAAAGAAGAACAGCUUUCAUGCCGUAUCAAGCUUACAAAAACCUGAAAAACAACAACGAAAGUAACUUUAAACAUUACUUGAAUUCACGACCGUAAAGAAACAAACUGGGAUUUGAUACCCCACUAUGCUUAACUGUAAACAAAGAUGAUAAUACACAAACAUCAUCCGCCAGGGGAUUACGAGCAAAGUUUAAAACCCAAAGGACUUGGCGGUGCCUCAAACCCACCUAGAGGAGCCUGUUCUAUAACCGAUAACCCCCGUUUAACCUCACCGCUUCUAGUUAAAUCAACCUAUAUACCGCCGUCCCCAGCUUGCCUUAUGAAAGACAGAUAGCAAGCCAAAUGGGCUAUGCCCAAAAAGUCAGGUCGAGGUGUAGUUAAUGAAGUGGGAAGAGAUGGGCUACAUUUUCUAACCCAGAACAUUACGAAAAGUACUAUGAAAGAAAACACAACUGAAGGUGGAUUUAGCAGUAAAAAGACAAUAGAGAGUUCUUUUGAAGUUGGCUCUGAGGCGCGUACACACCGCCCGUCACUCUCCUCAUGGCAUUUAAACGAUUCAGUUUAAUAAACACUUAGUUUAGCCAGCAGAGGGGGCAAGUCGUAACAUGGUAAGUG